rnacentral:rRNA from 1 species
UUGAAAGGGAAACGAUUGAAGUCAGUCGUACCGAUGGACAAUCAGCCUUUUGAGUGCGAUUCUGUGGGGCAUGAGGAGGAAACCCUCAUGUUUUGCAUAUUUGUGCUCUAUGGGUGUAUUUGUUCGUAUGGUGGGUUAACAUCAAUUUUGGUCGUCAUAAAAUGACGGGAGGAGUGUAGCUUUGGUCUCGUAUUGAAGUGUUAUAGCCUCUGGUAGAUGUGACGACCGGGAUUGAGGAUUGCAACGGAUACCUCUCGGGGCUACUCGCCUGAUCUCUGAUCGUUACUCUGGUGCCGGAAAGCUUGCUUAUGUCAUCAAAGUUGAUGGUCAAAAGGUUAGAACGGGUUAAAUUCGUUAAGGAUGUUGACGUA